rnacentral:misc_RNA from 1 species
CAAGAUCAUACAGUUUUCUCUUAUUCACAUUAAGAAAACACAAUCAUGGUACAGUGAAGAUCUCGAAAAUGAGCGAGUAAAACAACAGACAAUCUCAACGUAGAAUCGUUUCUAAGGGCAUGAGACUAUACAGCAGCGUCAAGCUGACAAGAUUUACUAGGUCAUGAGCUUCGCAAACUUACCAGUUAUAGCACACGGAUUUAACUUGAUGAUGCUAUACAAGUUAUUGUUCAUAACAUGACCCUGGCCCCAGUGGAGGACGUCGAGCAUAAAAAUUGGUAACUGGAGCUGCUGGAACACCACGCCUUGUCAAGAGGCAUCGGAAGUACUCCAGCCUCUGUAAUGUAGUUGACGUAGUAUUUUUUGAUGAUGUGGUCUCCUUGUCGCUCCACAACCGCUCUGCUGCAGCUGCAGCCCGUGGCCAUAUGGUUUGUUGAACAUCUGAGGCAUCUGCGGUUUCUCCCCACAUGCAUACUUCACCUCCAAGUAUAAGUUUUUGCUCAGAGAUACUCUUUAUUCCUUCCAGUGGUUCUGCAUAAUAGACCUCCUCCCACGGGACAUCUAAGUGAUCGAGAUACCAAUAACCCUGAUUGCUAUAAAUGCAUCUAAAACCACUUGCAACUGCCUUUGCACAAACAUCACCAACUAACCAGUUAUGCACUACCGUUCGUGGGUUAAGUUUAGAUGGAAAAUUAUUGAAGGUUUCUUCCCAGUUAACAGGUGUCCAGUUGUGUGAUAUAGCUAUUUCUUGAGCUUUGAGUACAAAAUACUGAUAUGCAUCCUUUGCAGUCAUCUUAUGAUCUUGAAGCCAUUGUUUCACGUGUGGUGUAGUUGUCCAACAAGUUGUGUUGACCUCGUCACCGCCUAAGUGGAAGAGCUCAAAUGGAAAAAUCUUCCUCAUAUCAGCCAAAAUGCCUGAUAUCACAUCAAAAGUAUAGUUUUUUGAAACAUCUAAGGGCUCUUUACAAGAUGGAGAAGGCCAAAGAUCAGGGUACCCUGCACCCCAUGAUUCUGCAUGGCCGGGAACAUCAACUUCUGCCAUAACAUUGAUACCUCUCAUCUUUGCAAAGUCAACAAUUUCAAUGGCAUCCUCGAGAGUGUAGCGUUCCCACUUUGUAUAUG